rnacentral:lncRNA from 1 species
CACUGACUCUGGUGUCACUCUCAAAAUUCCCCCUUACAUUAGAGGUUUCUCUAAUUUUCUUAUUUAUGUUUGUUUUCUCCAUUGCGAUACAGCUGUAUGUCAAAAGGAACUACUUUUAACAUCACCACUGUGCUCCAAGUUGGCAAGCCUUUGAUGUGCAUCACGUACUUAACAACUGCUUUUUACUCAGUUAAUACUGAUGAAGAGUGUAACUGGGAUGAAUUCUGCUGCCAGUGUUCUGAGCCUGAUUCUCAUCUCAUCCUGUGGUGUGGGUGCUCAAAGAAGUCUCUGAAACCCCCACCCACAACAGGAUGUCCCUGAGCAUCAGAAGAGGACGGCACCUGCCAAAGGUGAUGGAUCCGUCUUUCAUCACUCCAUUCCUGAAGCUUCUGCUUCACAGGACAGGAAGUGUGCACGACAAGUUGAGGAUUCAGGGCAGCUAGGGCCCUCCUGAAACAUGGGAAGCUCACCAACAUUUUACCAUGGGUGAUUAUUAUAACUAAGAGACAUAAAACAUUUGCUGGAAGUACCACAGAGGUGCUGAACUAUUAGAAUUCUCUGCUAUUUAUGAUUUUCCCAGCUCCUCUGUGCAAAAACCAUCAGAGCCCCAGUUUCCCUGACUUUUGUCUUGUGGAGAUGUUUUGUCUCUGUUGUUCCUCAUAUUGUGUUCGUCCAAAAAUUUGCUACAGGUCGUUUUUUAAUCCAUCCAUCAUUUUAAGUAGGGUCAUCCAAGGCAACCUUGUAACUUCUAUUUGGCAAUAAUAUGUGACCCUAAAAAUUGUCACUUCCUUCUAUCAGAGGCUGAAGAACUAUUAAGCUGAAUAUCCCUUUGUAACAUUUUGGUUUCAAAAGGCUAAUCAAUACAAUUUCUAGUAAUGGGCUAUUCGUGGCCUUCCCAACUUUCUAUUUUUUUUCCUCUUGCAAAUACAAAGAUCACACCUAGAAGCCUUGGGAGAAGAACACCAGGGCUAGAAGACAGGUAGAGUGAAGCUACUGUCUAUUUCUUAAAGUGAAUGGAUCUCUCUCAGGAGUGUAGCUGUAAACACUAUAUUAGAAUCUUUUUUUCUCCACAUGUCAUAGAGUACAACAAUAAUCAGAAAAUUACUCUCUGAAAGUCUUUAUUCCUAAACUGUAAAGGCACCCAGAUAUGGAAAAGCCUUUCUCUGUUGGCUAAUAAACCAUCUAAAGAGGACCUUGAUAGCUGACCUUAAGAAUAUAUUAUAAGAUCACUAUUUACUAAAUUGUCACAACAAUCAUAUGAGAUGCAUCUCAUUAAAGGUAUAGUCCCUUUUAAAUAAAUGAAAUGCAAAGAGUCUAUAUUUGGCUUGAUAGUAUCCCAACUGUAAAUGACAAAAUAUGGAUUUCAAACCAGGUAUGUAGUUUGAUUCAGAACUGACAAUCAAAGAUGCCUACUGUAAUCC